ACAUCUCCCAGUGAGCAAUGAGCUGAGCAAGUGGCGAUUGAAUAUGACGUUACGUUUUGUUCUAUAAAGGCCCUCCCCUUUCUUCGUCACGUCCUCUUUCAAUUUGGUGUCUUCGCUGUAGAGACACAUCUCCACAAGAUGAGAGCAAAGCUAACGUUUGCUAGCUUGACCACGUUGGCGAACUAGGUUUCACGGCCCAAUGGCGCACAAGUGGAGGAAGAAGCGUAUGCGCAGGCUGAAGCGUAAAAGGCGAAAGAUGAGGCAGAGGUCCAAGUAGACUGGCCCAUUCCCCUACUGCUGUGAUUGUUUUUCCCCACCCACUCCAAGCCCCCUGUUUGAAGCCAGCGGUCCAUGAUUUGCAAAGAGCUGAACCAUGGUUGUCUGAAGCCGGUCUCAUUGGUGUGAAGGACGGAUCCCGCAUACCCAGCCCUCUACUCUGCCAAUGGCACCUGGCUGUUGACUACUGCUAGAAUCUCUCCUGUUGUUGGACUCUGGCCUUUUACCACCUGCACAGCUGAUUUGUUGUGAAGACCAUAAUAAAUAUUUGGUUUACUAACUACAUUACUGUCUCUGUAAACAUUGAUUGAUGUUCAUAUCAAAGUUUAUUGGUCAC
rnacentral:lncRNA from 1 species